rnacentral:rRNA from 1 species
UGGGGAAUUUUGCGCAAUGGGCGAAAGCCUGACGCAGCAACGCCGCGUGUGUGAUGAAGGUCUUCGGAUUGUAAAGCACUUUCGACCGGGACGAAAACCUAAUGGCUAACAUCCAUUGGAUUGACGGUACCGGGAGAAGAAGCACCGGCUAACUCUGUGCCAGCAGCCGCGGUAAUACAGAGGGUGCAAGCGUUGUUCGGAAUUAUUGGGCGUAAAGCGCGUGUAGGCGGCGAAGCAAGUCGGGUGUGAAAGCCCUCAGCUUAACUGAGGAAGUGCGCCCGAAACUGCUCCGCUUGAGUCCCGGAGAGGGUGGCGGAAUUCCCCAAGUAGAGGUGAAAUUCGUAGAUAUGGGGAGGAACACCGGUGGCGAAGGCGGCCACCUGGACGGGUACUGACGCUGAGACGCGAAAGCGUGGGUAGCAAACAGG